CGCGGCCUAUCAGCUUGUUGGCGGGGUAAUGGCCCACCAAGGCGACGACGGGUAGCUGGUCUGAGAGGAUGGCCAGCCACAUUGGGACUGAGAGACGGCCCAGACUCCUACGGGAGGCAGCAGUGGGGAAUAUUGCGCAAUGGGCGGAAGCCUGACGCAGCGACGCCGCGUGGGGGAUGACGGCCUUCGGGUUGUAAACCUCUUUCGGCCUCGACGAAGCCUUUCGGGGUGACGGUAGGGGUGGAAGAAGCACCGGCCAACUACGUGCCAGCAGCCGCGGUAAUACGUAGGGUGCGAGCGUUGUCCGGAAUUAUUGGGCGUAAAGAGCUCGUAGGCGGUGUGUCACGUCGGCCGUGAAAACCUGCAGCUUAACUGUGGGCGUGCGGUCGAUACGGGCAUCACUGGAGUUCGGCAGGGGAGACUGGAAUUCCUGGUGUAGCGGUGAAAUGCGCAGAUAUCAGGAGGAACACCGGUGGCGAAGGCGGGUCUCUGGGCCGAUACUGACGCUGAGGAGCGAAAGCGUGGGGAGCAAACAGGAUUAGAUACCCUGGUAGUCCACGCCGUAAACGGUGGGCACUAGGUGUGGGGGCCAUUCCACGGUCUCUGUGCCGCAGCUAACGCAUUAAGUGCCCCGCCUGGGGAGUAC
rnacentral:rRNA from 1 species